rnacentral:rRNA from 1 species
UACGGAGGGGGUUAGCGUUGUUCGGAAUUACUGGGCGUAAAGCGCGCGUAGGCGGACCAGAAAGUUGGGGGUGAAAUCCCGGGGCUCAACCCCGGAACGGCCUCCAAAACUCCUGGUCUUGAGUUCGAGAGAGGUGAGUGGAAUUCCGAGUGUAGAGGUGAAAUUCGUAGAUAUUCGGAGGAACACCAGUGGCGAAGGCGGCUCACUGGCUCGAUACUGACGCUGAGGUGCGAAAGUGUAGGGAGCAAACAGG